rnacentral:lncRNA from 1 species
GACCAUUUUGUCCUUGCUAGUCACAACCAUAACGGCUCAAGGUCCUCGAUCUUGAUCUGAAGAAAUGUACACCCAAAAUCAUCCCCAACGACUUACUUAACUCACUUCUUGAAACUAACUUUUGAUCUGCAGCGGUUGGAAAAUAAACGGUCUGCAUGACUUGGUUAACCUCUUUAGAAAUAAUAGCUUGUUUAACAUUCACGUCAUACUCUAACAUCUCC